rnacentral:rRNA from 1 species
GACGAACGCUGGCGGCGUGCUUAACACAUGCAAGUCGAACGAUGAAGCUGGAGCUUGCUCCGGUGGAUUAGUGGCGAACGGGUGAGUAACACGUGAGCAAUCUGCCCUUGACUCUGGGAUAACUGCGGGAAACUGUAGCUAAUACCGGAUACGAGGCUCGAAGGCAUCUUCGGGUCUGGAAAGAAUUUCGGUCAAGGAUGAGCUCGCGGCCUAUCAGAUUGUUGGUGAGGUAAUGGCUCACCAAGGCGACGACGGGUAGCCGGCCGGAGAGGGUGACCGGGCACACUGGGACUGCGACACGGCGCAGACUCCUACUGGAGGCAGCAGUGGGGAACAUUGCACAAUGGGCGAAAGCCUGAUGCAGCAACGCCGCGUGAGGAAUGAAGGCCUUCGGGUUGUAAACCUCUUUUAGCAGGGAAGAAGCGAAAGGGACGGUACCUGCAGAAAAAGCACCGGCUAACUACGUGCCAGCCGCCGCCGUAA